rnacentral:antisense_RNA from 1 species
CAGAGCCCAGGCUCCAGCUUGGAACGCCUCCAGCCUCAGGUCCCUCCCUGAUUCCUUCACAGUCCUGACCUCAUCUGGCACCCACCUGCCUGGGAACCCCUCUAGGGCCAAGAGCUGUGGCUCAUAAAGAGAUGGGGUCUCGCCAUAUUGCCCAGGCUGGUCUCAAACUCCUGAGCUCAAGCUGUCCUCCCACCUUGGGCUCCCACAGUGCUGGGAUUCCAGGCGUGAGCCACCACGCCCGGUCCUGGAUUUAACUUAGUAUAUUAAAGGCCACAGAUGGAAUGGAGGUGCCAGGAAAAGACUCUGCGCUUUAAAAUUGGCCCCGACUUGCCGGGCGCGGUGGCUCACACCUGUCAUCCCAGCACUUUGGGAGGCCGAGGCGGGCGGAUCACGAAGUCAGGAGUUCGAGACCAGCCUGGCCAACAUGGUGAAAACCCGUCUCUACUACAAAUACAAAAAUUAGCCGGGCGUGGUGGUGGGCGCCUGUAAUCCCAGCUACUUGGGAGGCUGAGGCAGGAGAAUCGCUUGAACCUGGAAGGCGGAGGUUGCAGUGAGCCGAGAUCGUGCCACUGCACUCCAGCCUGGGCGACAGAGCGAUGCUCCGUCUCAAAAAAAUAAAAUAAGAAAACAUUGG